rnacentral:rRNA from 1 species
AUUGAACGCUGGCGGCAUGCCUAACACAUGCAAGUCGAACGGCAGCACGGGUGCUUGCACCUGGUGGCGAGUGGCGAACGGGUGAGUAACACAUCGGUACACGUCCUGUCGUGGGGGAUAGCCCGGCGAAAGCCGGAUUAAUACCGCAUUCGAUCUACGGAUGAAAGCGGGGGAUCGUCGGUCCUCGCGCUAUAGGGUUGGCCGACGGCUGAUCAGCUAGUUGGUGGGGUAAAGGCCUACCAAGGCGACGAUCAGUAGCUGGUCUGAGAGGAUGACCAGCCACACUGGGACUGAGACACGGCCCAGACUCCUACGGGAGGCAGCAGUGGGGAAUUUUGGACAAUGGGCGAAAGCCUGAUCCAGCAAUGCCGCGUGUGUGAAGAAGGCCUUCGGGUUGUAAAGCACUUUUGGCCGGGAAGAAAGCCUUGGCCCUAAUACGGUCGGGUGGUGACGGUACCGGAAGAAUAAGCACCGGCUAACUACGUG